UUCACCCUCACUGGGCUUGUUUCAGGAGAGUAGAAAGACUUUCAAGAGCGGAGGUUGGAUGGGAGACUAUUCCAAGCAGGUACAAAAGACACACUCCACAUCCUGGUCACCUGCUGUUUCCCAUUUAACCAUAAGAAACAGCAGAUUCCUCGUGGUUAAAGAAGCCUAAGAAGGUUCCCUUGCAGAGGAUGAAGAGCGAUUGCAUCAUCAGCAGCUGGGGUCCCCGGGAAGCUGUCAUCUCCCGCAGCGUCAAGAGGUACCGGCCGGAGGCUCCUACCACACGGAAAUGUAGCAUCCCACACGGUACGUCCCCCACCCCAACGCCAUCUCUUCUUGCCCAGGCCUGACGCAAAGCACAGGCCAAGUAAUAACUCAAUAAAAAAUUCACGGCCUUGAAUGAGAUGGGUCAGAACUGCACAGAUGAUGGAGAGAUAAGAAAUGGUCUGCACCAUCAACUCUGAACCAGUUUCUCACGGGAACGACCCUUUCCUUAGUUAGAAGUUUAAAAACUAACGUGUGCCUAUAGAAAGGUUUUCUUAUUAGUCAUCUUUGGUGAAAUGGGGACCAAUUUACUGAGGAUGGUAGAGGUCAGACAGAGCUCAACCGGUGUGAGGUCAUCUUAAGAUCACCUCCUCCCCAGGUUCUUGCCUAAACCCUGCUGGCCUGGGGGCACUGGAGCCUGGCCCUGCCUGCCACCCCUCCAGUUACAUUCCAGACUGAUUCUUCAGACCUGGAUGUAGAAACCAAUGGUGGGAGGUGUUAUUUGCCUGACAUCACACAGCCGCGGCAAUCCUGGCCUCCCAUCGUCCAUCUCUGGAGCCAAAUUUUCUGAGUUCUCUCAUUUAGAGAGGAAGUGUGUUUGGCCUCAGAAGCAAGUGGGUCAGAUUUCAGCCCCACUCGUUUUUAGCUGUGUGACUUUGGGUAAGUAACUUAAUGCUUCUGAGCCUCAAUUCCUUCCUUCUUCAAAUCCACUGCCUAACGGAUCUGGUAAAACUCUCCAUUGUUUUCAAAAUAAACUCCCCAACCAUAACCUAACUUCCAGCUCUCUAAAGGAUUCAAUGAGAUGGCUCACCUUAUCUUGGAACACAGGAGGAAGAAAGGAAGGAAAAGAGAAAACUAACAAGAGCAGGAAGGAGGACAGAGAUUUUCCUCUGGAUCAUCCAAAAUCACUGCAGAGGCUUAGAGAAUGAACUUAUGAUUGCCUGGGGUGAGGGUGGGGAGAAGGGAUAGUUAUGGAGUUUGGGGUGGUCCUGUACACAUUGAUCUAUUUAAAAUGGAUAAUCAACAAGGACCCACU